UUUCCGUACACGAUGGCGUCUCCGUCAGGCAGCACCAAGCAGAAAACCAGCGAAACGCUGAGCACGGCUAAAGCCGGAACUUCCCCGGGCGAAACCGCCGCGGGCCCCUCUACGAAGCCUGAGCCAAAGCGCUCAUCGGCAGUGAAAUCCUCCGAUACGAAACGCAAAAGUGUCUUGGCAAAGCCUGCCUCGAAUGAGUCUAAGAACUCUGGGCCUAAAAAGAAGGGCAAAAAGCCUGAAGAAAAGGAGGACUUCACGGAUUUACGAGGAAGACUUGACAAAUUGGAAUCCUUAAUGGAGAGAAUGGUGGAUUUUUUGCCUUGUCAAUCUGCAACUCGCCCCACAGGGGAUACAGCUGCGACGAACGUGAGAUUUCGUGAAGUUGAACAUGAUGAUGAUGAUUUUGAGCAUAUUGACACUGGAAACAUGGGCCAAUGCCCUACGUCAUAUGACAUUGGCAGCAUGGAUGAGGGUGAUGUCAACGAAACUGUUGCACCAGGUUUAGACCAGGAGAAUGAGGACAAAGUUCCUGCCCUGGCUCAGAAAUUUGCUAUCCCUACUGGGGUUGGUGGCGCGAUCCACGAUGAUUUAGCAAAGUCUGCCAUGUACCUCAUGUCCCACCAGCUAGAGGAAAAUGUGUUGGAGGAAGCUGGAGGGAAAUACCCUCCUCCAAGCAAUUGUACUCCACUGUGUUGCCCCAAAGUGAAUGCAGCAAUAUGGGAAAACCUAUCCUCGCAAACGAGAAGCCGUGAUUUGAAACUGCAAAGAAUCCAAAAGCCUUUGACAAGGGGACUCACAGCUUUUAUUCAAACUCUGUCCCCCGAUAGCCUAUCUGAGACACAACAGGAUGCAUUGGCAUUGCUGUGUAACACAAACUUUGAAAUCAACUGCUUACGCAAAGAUCAGAUUAAGCCAGACUUAAAUGCCAAGUACUCACAUCUUUGCAAACCUGCCACACCAGUGAGUCAGUACUUAUUUGGCGAUGACUUAACAAAGAGAGUCAAAGAUCUUACAGAACAACAAAAAGCUGCAUCUGGCGUGGUGCGUGGACAACGUACACCCCGCCCCCAGUACCAUCCGUACAGGACGCAAGCGUCCAGCACUUUUCAAUACCGCAGACAAGGAUGGAACCGUGCCGCCGGCACAUCACAAACUUUUCCAAGUAGCAGGCCCGCAAGUGGGAACUACAACACGCCUUUUUUAGGCCAGCGAACCCAACGAGGCAGACCAUACAGAGCUAUGCCUCACACCCAGACGAUGAGCAUGGGAAAACAGACCCAAUCCUUCCAGCGGCCACAGGCAGCAAGGAGGAAAUAGCUACACCAUUACCCAAAGAGGUAAGUAGCACAUAUGAAUAUUGUGAGAAUGUUAAUGCUCCUUCUACUUCAUGUACAUUACAACAAGAAUGCAUCUCAAAUGUGCCUGUUGGAGGUCGAUUGAUAUAUUUCUAUCGUAGAUGGCGUGAAUUAACGUCAGAUCUAUUUCUGCUAUCGGCAGUGCGAGGCUAUGAGAUCGAAUUUGAUUAUUCGAAAGGGGUUCCCUCAAGAAAUAAGCCCCUCUACGGCUACAAAAAGAGCCCUUUAGAAAUAAAUCAGAUUACUAAAGAAAUCUUGGCUCUACAAGCAAAAAACGUAAUAGAACCUUGCUCAUUUGAAGAGGGAGAAUUCCUCUCAAACAUCUUCACGAGACCCAAGAAAGAUGGGGGUACUCGUAUGAUCUUAGACUUAUCAGAGCUUAAUCAAAGUCUGAAUGUACAACACUUUAAGAUGGAUAACAUCCACACUGCCAAGCACUUGAUUUCUCCGCACUGUUAUCUUGCAUCAAUCGACCUCCAAGAUGCUUAUUACUCCAUUCCAGUAGACCCAAAUAGUAGAAAAUACUUGAGGUUCAUGUGGCAGGGUGAGCGCUGGCAAUUUGCAACCUUACCUAAUGGGCUCAGCACAGCCCCCAGACUGUUCACAAAAUUGCUGAAGCCAGUCUUUGCCGAACUGCGACAAGCAGGUCAUACAGUCAUAGGAUAUUUGGACGACACCAUAAUUAUUGGUGAAACAAAAGAAAAGCUGAAAGAGAGUGUGAGUGCAACAACCAAGAUCCUCUCAGAAUUAGGAUUCCUCAUUCACACUAAAAAAUCAGUGCUCACCCCAACACGUGAACUAGCCUUUCUUGGCUUCAUUCUUAACACUGAGAGUAUGAUUGUUAAAUUGCCUCAAACAAAGGCACAAGAAGUGAAAGAUUUAUGCCGUGAAUUAAUGGGCACGUACCUCCCAUCAAUACGAAUGGUAGCACGAGUGAUUGGGAAGGUCAUAGCAACUUUCCCUGCGGUUGAGUAUGGCCCCUUAUACUAUAGAUCAAUGGAAAGGGACAAAAUUGCAGCCCUCAGACAAAACAGGGGUCAUUUUGACAGAAAGAUGAAGUUGUCCCUUGAGGCAAAAGAGGAGUUAAAAAUUGCACACAGAUGCCAGUGGCCUUGGAUGGGGAGCUACUGACCUCCAGAAGCAAACAGGGGGUCGUUGGAAUGAAUUUGAGGCAGAAAGGGCACGAAACAAUGAAAUAAAUUUCCUGGAAACCCUAGCCGCUGGGUUGGGGAUAAAAUCCUUUUGCAUGAAUAAGCGUAACGUUCAUGUGAUGGUAAGAAUAGAUAAUACCACUGCAGUGGCUUAUUCAAAUCACAUGGGAGGCUGCAAGUCCGCAAUGUGUGACAAGAUGACGAGAGAAAUUUGGCAGUGGUGCAUUUCUCGAAAUAUUUGGGUCUCCGCAGCCCAUGUACCUGGUCGGCUCAAUACUAUAGCAGAUGAAAGAUCCAGGAAAUUUAAUGAUCGAACAGAAUGGAAACUAAACAGACAAGUGUUCGAUAGAAUAGUUUCCCACUUUGGUGUACCAGAAAUAGACCUGUUCGCCUCGAGACUAAAUGCUCAAGUAGAGAAAUAUGUCACUUGGCACCCAGACCCUGGGGCUUUUGCAGUUGACGCAUUUACGCUAGAUUGGAAACCUUUUGCAUUCUAUGCAUUCCCACCGUUCUGUAUGAUCCCCAAAUGCUUGCAAAAAAUCAGAGAGGAUAAAGCUAGAGGGUUACUUCUGGUCCCUAAUUGGCCUACUCAGGCGUGGUUCCCUCAGUUGGUUAGCAUGAUGGAAGGAGAGCCACUGUUUAUCCAGAGGCAAGAAGAUUUGCUACUCCUUCCUGUGUUAAACACCACCCACCCUCUUAAUGCUAAUAUUGACCUCUUAUGUUGCAGGUUAUGCGGCAACAUUUUGAGAAUCGGGGACUAAGCAGACGAACAGUGGAUAUCAUUACAGCUUCAUGGAGAGCAUCAACCUGCAAGCAGUACCAAGUGUACAUCACACAGUGGCGAAGAUUUUGCCACAGCAGGAAUACGAGUUACCUCCAAGCCGAGGUGGAAACGG